GACGAACGCUGGCGGCGUGCUUAACACAUGCAAGUCGAACGGAAAGGCCCUGCUUUUGUGGGUUGCUCGGGUGGCAACGGGGUGAGUAACACUUAAGUAUCCUCCCCUUGCCUUUGGGUUAACUUCAGGAAACUGGGGCUAAUCCCGGUUCGGAGCUCCUUCUGCUUGGUGGGUGUUGGAACGUUUCGGCGUUUGGGGAUGGACUCGCGGCUUUUCAGCUUGUUGGUGGGGUAGUGGCUUACCAAGGCUUUGAAGGGUAGCCGGCCUGAGGGGGUGACCGGCCACAUUGGGACUGAGAUACGGCACAGACUCGUACGGGAGGCAGCAGUGGGGAAUAGUGCACAAUGGGCGGAAGCCUGAUGCAGCAACGCCGCGUGAGGGAUGACGGCCUUCGGGUUGUAAACCGCUUUCGCCGGUGACGAAGCGUGAGUGAAGGUAAUGGGUAAAGAAGCACCGGCUAACUACGUG
rnacentral:rRNA from 1 species